UAAAAACUAAAUUAUGUGACUAACUGGAAGCCUUAAAAUGAAAGGAAAGAACCCAGUCUUGCUUCCUGAGGUCAAAAUGUCUGAGAAUUCUGUUGUCUCCAAGGACAAACUGCAAGGAGAUAAAGACAUCUGAGAUCACAUGGCUGGCACUUCCACUCUGAGACUGCAAUGUAAGGAACACAGGAAAACACCACGGCCGGCAUUUCACUGGCUUUAGGAGCCUGUAUGCAACAAUCUCCUCCUCACACGCUGCUCAGAAAGCAUUUCUUCCCAGCAAUUUCACAAGGAGAACAAAAGGGACUCAGAUGGAGAAUUUGUGAGCUUGGACAACAGGACCUCUCUAAGCCUGCCAGAAUGCUCGGUGCUUGGAAUAUAUUUGCCAGGAUCUGUCCAGGCCACUGUUAUUGCAACAAAAAGCGAACAUGAAAGAAUAAGUUGCUACUGGAGACAAGUGCGGGAAUUCACACAUCCUCAUCCGUGAACAGGUGCUUUCAAACCCCAGGCUUCAGAACAGUUUCCCCAUGCUUGCAUUUUGAUGGUGCUAUGAUGAAGCAAAUUAAAAAACAGAAGAGACAUUUUGAUUAUCGCACUGCCAAAUCUGAACAUUCCUGUUACGAUCUUGCACUUGCACGAGGCUGAGCUCACAGGGAGACUGCACAGUAGGAAGAAUAUGGACGUGUGUAAA